rnacentral:misc_RNA from 1 species
CAGCCCAUUUGCCCUCGCACCGCACCCCCUCCAGACCACCAAUGUCCGCCUACCACAGCAGCAACCCUGUCGAGGCCCGCCGCGCCGAGUGCGCGCGCCUGCAGGCCAAGUACCCCGGCCACGUCGCCGUGGUUGUCGAGGCGGCCGAAAAGGCCGGCAGCAAGGCGCACUUCCUCGCGCUGCCGCGCGACGCCACCGUCGCCGAGCUCGAGGCGGCCGUGCGCCAGGCGCUCAGCACCAGCGUCAAGAAGGUGACGCUCGCCAUCGAGGGCUCCGCCCCGGCGGUGACCGCCGCGGUCGGCGACAUCGCCGACGCCUGCAAGCGGGACGACGGCUUCCUGUACGUGAGCGUGCGCACCGAGCAGGCCAUGGGCGGCAUCGCCGGUCCCUGCUUCGCCAGCGACUCCGGCGGUAUGUAACCAGCGCGGCCUUCGCGCUUCCCAUCCUCUCUGUUCGUCUUCCCCUCACCCCUCCCCUCUCCUCCCAGUGACUUUGUCCUGCUUGGAAAAUCGCAGCGUCGCUGCCGUCUUCAUGUGUGAUGUUUUCUCGACUUAUCUCAUUUCGCGUGCAUGCGCGUGUGGCGCCUCCCCUCAGGCCCAUACGCGAGCUGGUUCCUGGGCCGCAGUGUCUACGCAGGCACUCCACACACGCACGCGCGCACCCCUGCCCCGCCGCGGCGUGAAACUUGUGUGCCACCCAUGUGAACACGCCCUCUCUCUCUUUCCGUUCGUCAUCUUCUUGUGCUGCGGGGGUCGUGCUGUCGCUGCGCAGGCAGCCGGCAGCGCACACCGCCCUCCCUCCAUGUGUACAGCCCACUCGCAGUCCUAGCUGCCCCUCCCUACCCACCACCACCACCACCACCACACACACAAGCACGCAUACCUUGACCGCCAACGCCACCCCGCUGCGCUGCAGACGCCGUCGCGUCACGCCCGCCCUUCGCACCAGCGGCCCCGCGGCAGCCCCGCCGGCCGCUCUUGCAGCGGCGCACCGGCCCUGCAUCUGCCUGCUAUUGCAUGACCCCUCUCCCCUGCCACUCCUCGCCCUGCCUCCCUCCCUCCCUCCCCCUCUGCGCCGCACCGCUGCACGCAG